UGCUAUACUUUAAGCCCAGAAGAUCUAAGUUUAGUCCUCAACCCCAAUCUCAUUGGGCAUCUUUGGGCAAACCACUUUAUCUUGCAUCCGGACUGACCCAGAGUUGUGAUAAUAAAUGAGAUACUAAUAGCAAAGUCCUUUGUAGGCUUAGAACUGCUACAUGAAAUGCUAAAAUACUGCUGUCGGGAUGGGGCCUCGGGCUAAGCUAUGUGUGUGCCUGGAAGGUGAAAAAUAAAAUAAAAUGCUAAAAUAACUCAAAAUAAUCGUAGAAAACAAUCAUCUAAUGAGUGACACAUAAAACUAAUGAAUGAGACAUAAACUCCCACACAGAUAUCCCCAAAAUGAGACAUAUUCUCUUCCCUUCAUUGCAGAGUGCAUUUUGCAAAAUCAAUUCCAAAAAUUAGAUUGCAUCAUAUUAUGGCUCUGUAAUAAAUAGCUGUAUUGUAACAGGCGGUUUUUGCAAGUUGGAAUGCAGUCCUUCCAAGGGCUUCACAAAAACAUCAGGACCAGGAGGAAAGUUAUUAUCAAAUUCAUGAGGGCUUAACAGGGUUAGUUUGUGACAUCUCAUUCCCCAUUCAUUAAGUAGGUAUUGCUAUGCAGAUCUCAUUUAAAAUAUAUAUAUAUGGCUCCAAGAAGCAUGAAUUCAACUCUUUGGGCAUGAGCUCACUUUAGUUGCUUUGCCAUUUUGCCCCUCAUAGCAGCAUGCAAUCGCCUGCAACCUUCAUUCCCGUAAAUUUACAUAGAUAGAGGUAGAUCUUUAAUUUGCACCCCUCAUUCAUACCACAAGUGCAGAAUUCUGGUGUGCCUGAGGCACCACUAAGCAAUAAUUUGUCACUUGCUUGAAAAUCACUAACUAAAAACAGAACUCUGCUGCCUCCCAAAUCAUCUCCCAUUUCCCCCCGAGGUCCUCAGCCCUCACCUUGUUUGUGCAACAUUCUCUUGCUCUCUGUGUCAUUUAGCUGCAAUAAGAAAUCACCAUCCAGAAAGUGCUGACCUCCGUGUAUUGUCCAAAGUUUACCUAGAUGGGAUCGUGGACGUCGACGAUGAGGAGUUCCAAAACAUCUCAUCCAUCCUUUCCACUUUCAUCAUCCUUUUUCUCGUGAGCCUGUUCUACAGUGCCACUGUGACCGUCAUAAAGGUGAAAUAGCAGCGUGAAGGGUCUUCUGGCAACGGACAGUGACUUCUCUAUUCACCAGCAACAUACCGGUAAUAAAGGACUUGACUUCUUUGUCCACUUUUGGAGAAGAAGGAAGGAUGCAAGCCUUUCCAUCUUGCUUUGCAUCAUGAUCUCAGGAUACUCAUUGGCUUGAACUAGAUUUAGACCCACUGUUUACAUUUUAGAGCUAUGGUGCAAUCUUGCUUCACUUUUCUUAGUGUAUAUGUGUGUUUUCCAGCAUCUCUUUGGUAGUCAUGUUUUAUUUCAGCUAUAGUUGUAUACAUAGUUGCAUGUGAAUAUUGCACUUUUAACUUUCUUUUUUCUUUUUCUUUUUUUUUUUUGCACUUUUAACUUUCAACAGACAAGGAAUCAUUGCACAAUAUGUACCGACUAGAAUGUUUCUCAUUUACAUCAUGAUUGCUAUGUAAAACUGCAAUAAAGAUAUAUUCUUCACUGA